AUUGAACGCUGGCGGCAGGCUUAACACAUGCAAGUCGAGCGGGGGAAGGUAGCUUGCUACCGGACCUAGCGGCGGACGGGUGAGUAAUGCUUAGGAAUCUGCCUAUUAGUGGGGGACAACAUCUCGAAAGGGACGCUAAUACCGCAUACGUCCUACGGGAGAAAGCAGGGGAUCUUCGGACCUUGCGCUAAUACAUGAGCCUAAGUCGGAUUAGCUAGUUGGUGGGGAAAAGGCCUACCAAGGCGACGAUCUGUAGCGGGUCUGAGAGGAUGAUCCGCCAGACUGGGACUGAGACAGGGCCCAGACUCCUGCGGGAGGCAGCAGUGGGGAAUAUUGGACAAUGGGGGGAACCCUGAUCCAGCCAUGCCGCGUGUGUGAAGAAGGCCUUAUGGUUGUAAAGCACUUUAAGCGAGGAGGAGGCUACUCUAGUUAAUACCUAGGGAUAGUGGACGCUACUCGCAGAAUAAGCACCGGCUAACUCUGUGCCAGCCGCCGCCGUAA
rnacentral:rRNA from 1 species